rnacentral:miRNA from 1 species
UGUUUAACAGCCGAACAGCCGGCUGUUGGCUGUUUUAUAGCCGACUUUUUAACAGCCGGCCGUUGGCUGUUUAACA